GAUGAACGCUGGCGGCGUGCCUAAUACAUGCAAGUCGAGCGAACGGACGAGGAGCUUGCUUCUCUGACGUUAGCGGCGGACGGGUGAGUAACACGUGGAUCACCUACCUAUAAGACUGGGAUAACUUCGGGACACCGGAGCUAAUACCGGAUAAUAUCUUGAACCGCAUGGUUCAAUAGUGAAAGACGGUCUUGCUGUCACUUAUAGCUGGAUCCGGGCUGCAUUAGCUAGUUGGUAAGGUAACGGCUUACCAAGGCAACGAUGCAUAGCCGACCUGAGAGGGUGAUCGGCCACACUGGAACUGAGACACGGUCCAUACUCCUACGGGAGGCAGCAGUAGGGAAUCGGCCGCAAUGGGCGAAAGCCUGACGGAGCAACGCCGCGUGAGUGAUGAAGGUCUUCGGAUCGUAAAACUCUGUUAUUAGGGAAGAACAUAUGUGUAAGUAACUGUGCACAUCUUGACGGUACCUAAUCAGAAAGCCACGGCUAACUACGUG
rnacentral:rRNA from 1 species